UACGGGGGGGGGCAAGCGUUGUUCGGAAUUACUGGGCGUAAAGGGCUCGUAGGCGGCCAACUAAGUCGGAUGUGAAAUCCCCAGGCUUAACCUGGGAACUGCAUCCGAUACUGGAUGGCUUGAAUCCGGGAGAGGGAUGCGGAAUUCCGGGUGUAGGCGGUGAAAUGCGGUAGAUAUCUGGAGGAACACCGGUGGCGAAGGCGGCGAUCCUAGGACCGGCAUUGACGGCUGAGGAGCGAAGCCAGGGGAGCGAAAACGGGG
rnacentral:rRNA from 1 species